GACGAACCGUACGAACGUUAUUCGGAAUCACUGGGCUUAAAGGGUGCGUAGGCGGCCCUGUUAGUUGGGUGUGAAAUCCCUCGGCUCAACCGAGGAAUUGCGCCCAAUACUGCAGGGCUUGAGUGAGACAGAGGUGAGCGGAACUUAGGGUGGAGCGGUGAAAUGCGUUGAUAUCCUAAGGAACACCAGUGGCGAAAGCGGCUCACUGGGUCUCUUCUGACGCUGAGGCACGAAAGCUAGGGUAGCGAACGGG
rnacentral:misc_RNA from 1 species